rnacentral:rRNA from 1 species
GCCUCAAAGAGGGGAACAACAGUUGGAAACGACUGCUAAUACCGCAUAAGCCCACGACCCGGCAUCGGGUAGAGGGAAAAGGAGCAAUCCGCUUUGAGAUGGCCUCGCGUCCGAUUAGCUAGUUGGUGAGGUAACGGCCCACCAAGGCGACGAUCGGUAGCCGGACUGAGAGGUUGAACGGCCACAUUGGGACUGAGACACGGCCCAGACUCCUACGGGAGGCAGCAGUGGGGAAUAUUGCACAAUGGGGGAAACCCUGAUGCAGCGACGCCGCGUGGAGGAAGAAGGUCUUCGGAUUGUAAACUCCUGUUGUUGAGGAAGAUAAUGACGGUACUCAACAAGGAAGUGACGGCUAACUACGUGCCAGCAGCCGCGGUAAAACGUAGGUCACAAGCGUUGUCCGGAAUUACUGGGUGUAAAGGGAGCGCAGGCGGGAAGACAAGUUGGAAGUGAAAUCCAUGGGCUCA